GAACGAAAGUGCUGGAAAAAUCUAUCACAUCAGUACAGCUGCCAAGGGGGGUGAGGGGGAAUUCACUAGCUCCAGCAUGAGUCAGCAGCUGCUUCGUGUUUGUUAAGACUUUUAAAGGAAUUUAAAGUUCUGGCAACUGACCACUUGGCACAGAAACCAGCAAACCGUGACUCAUCAUUUUUUGACUCUGCUGUUCUUGCUGAGUCACGCCACGUUGGUAGCCCUGAAGCUCAAACACAGCAGGAUCAGUGCUGAUUAUCACACUUGGGCCUUUGCCUGCUCUGUCUGCCCACUGCAGAUGGACACUCAUCUUUAUCUCUGAGGGCCUCCACCCAGCUCCUGCACUGCACUGCUCCAUCCCAGGAAAAAAUUUCCACUUGCUUCUUGCCCAACACUUUUCAGAAACCUGACUGCUUCCUGUGAACCAAGAGUGUCUCAUUUGGCAAAUGGAUUUUGUGCUGUAACACACACACAAUUACAUCAGUAUCAUCACAGGGCUGAAGGGCAAAGAAAGCAAGUUUUCCUAGAAGAACUAGAAAUUAAAUUCCAGAAAAAUGCGGGCUAGUCUUCACUGUGAAUGAAUUCAUUGGUUUCAGCACUUCUGCUACCACAUGGCUCAGUGUGCAUCAAUGUGUGUGUUUGAAGGUGCAUCUACACACACCUCCCUGCAAGCAAAGCUCAGGACUUUAACAGAUCACCAAAACAACAUCUCUUAACAUGUGAAAUCUAAAAUCAACUCCUCCAUUGCAAAUUCAGCACUCCCUGACCCAGGAGUGUCCUAAAGCACAGGAACAUAGGAUUCCCAGCAGAGCUCUGUAAACAAUUUCUGGCUUGAUUCAGGUACUUGUCCUGUGUGAAACCUUGCUCCUCAUCUGAGGACAAGCCAAGCAGGCUGGGGCCAUGUCCAUGUCACCACUGCAAAGCCAAUGCAGAGAGCUCCAUUCCUAAGGCAGAUUCAAACUUUCCAGUGAGAAGAAACAGCUGGAGCUGACACAAGCAAAUGGGAUUUGCACAGCCAGACCAACACCGAAGGGAGCACGUGUCGCCACAAGAUGGAGCACAAAAUGCAGAGGUCAUUCCCAGCUCCCCUGCAGCCCCCUGCUCAACACCCACCCAAUCCCAACCUGCCAGGCCAAACAAUAGCUGGUCUCUACCCAAAGUAUGUGCAGCACCUGAGCCAGGGCAAACACAGAGCAGCAUCUCCCCUUCCCCACAGGUUCCAAGCACCAGCAGUGAAUUGCUCAGGACUGAAUUCCAAAAUCUGUCUGCUUUCACUCAGGAGUCUCAACAUUUAGAAAACUAAGAGGUGAUACAUAUUCUGGGGGCUUUUUUGUCCUAAAGGGAAAAUUGUAUUCUGUCAGAAAGGCAGUGAUGGGAGAGUGGUAAAGGCAGUUUACUGUGUUUAUCUGUUCUGGAGUUACAGGUUCCAGGACACCUUGUGAAUUUCCAAGUGUAAGGACUGAUCCUGUUCCUUCCUUCACAUCAGAGAAACUAACAUCAGCUGGGAUGCAGGCUAGAUUUCAUAUCAACUCAUGUCCAGAAAAAAGAAGAACACUGAGCUCGGAAGGAAAAUGCUGAAGGAAUUUGAAGAAUGCAGAACACUGCUACAUAAAAAGCAAUCUGGCACACAGGAUUAAAUGUUUGUGCUCUUGCAACUCCUGAAUCUCAUUGGAGUAAGAAUUUGCUGAGCUGUCUUGUGGAUUAAUUUACUGCAGUAUGAAUUCUGAGGAAACUCAAAGCAGAGGCUGUUGGGUUACUCCAGACACUGCCUGAGCUCCAUGGAAAAGCAGCUCCAUCUGGCUUCCUCCUAACUGCAGGAGGGUCCCAGAUUUAGACUGACACAAACCAGCAGAGGUGGCUGCCACAUCUAGAAGAUUCUGGACUCUACAAAGUUCUGGGGUGCCUCCUAGGAUGAUAAGACACACCCAAAAAGAAGUUCCUUCAGAAGUAACAAAAAAGUGUUUACAGCUCUUUAUAACUUUAUUUAUUUGCCCAGAUACAAUUUUAUUUAGACAAACUGAAAUGAAGUAACAUCUAGCAAUUAGGAUUAAACUGACUGGAAACAAUGUACAAUAA